AGAGUUUGAUCUUGGCUCAGGACGAACGCUGGCGGCGUGCCUAAUACAUGCAAGUCGAACGCUUUUUUCAAUCAUCGUAGCUUGCUACACCGAUUGGAAAUUGAGUGGCGAACGGGUGAGUAACACGUGGGUAACCUGCCCAAAAGAGGGGGAUAACACUUGGAAACAGGUGCUAAUACCGCAUAACCAUGAUGACCGCAUGGUCAUUAUGUAAAAGAUGGUUUCGGCUAUCACUUUUGGAUGGACCCGCGGCGUAUUAACUUGUUGGUGGGGUAACGGCCUACCAAGGUAAUGAUACGUAGCCGAACUGAGAGGUUGAUCGGCCACAUUGGGACUGAGACACGGCCCAAACUCCUACGGGAGGCAGCAGUAGGGAAUCUUCCACAAUGGGCGCAAGCCUGAUGGAGCAACGCCGCGUGAGUGAAGAAGGUCUUCGGAUCGUAAAACUCUGUUGUUAGAGAAGAACAUGCGAGAGAGUAACUGUUCUUGUAUUGACGGUAUCUAACCAGAAAGCCACGGCUAACUACGUGCCAGCAGCCGCGGUAAUACGUAGGUGGCAAGCGUUGUCCGGAUUUAUUGGGCGUAAAGCGAGCGCAGGCGGAAGAAUAAGUCUGAUGUGAAAGCCCUCGGCUUAACCGAGGAACUGCAUCGGAAACUGUUUUUCUUGAGUGCAGAAGAGGAGAGUGGAACUCCAUGUGUAGCGGUGGAAUGCGUAGAUAUAUGGAAGAACACCAGUGGCGAAGGCGGCUCUCUGGUCUGCAACUGACGCUGAGGCUCGAAAGCAUGGGUAGCGAACAGGAUUAGAUACCCUGGUAGUCC
rnacentral:rRNA from 1 species